GAUGAACGCUGGCGGCGUGCCUAAUACAUGCAAGUCGAGCGAACAGACGAGGAGCUUGCUCCUCUGAUGUUAGCGGCGGACGGGUGAGUAACACGUGGAUAACCUACCUAUAAGACUGGGAUAACUUCGGGAAACCGGAGCUAAUACCGGAUAAUAUGUUGAACCGCAUGGUUCAACAGUGAAAGACGGUCUUGCUGUCACUUAUAGAUGGAUCCGCGCUGCAUUAGCUAGUUGGUAAGGUAACGGCUUACCAAGGCAACGAUGCAUAGCCGACCUGAGAGGGUGAUCGGCCACACUGGAACUGAGACACGGUCCAGACUCCUACGGGAGGCAGCAGUAGGGAAUCUUCCGCAAUGGGCGAAAGCCUGACGGAGCAACGCCGCGUGAGUGAAGAAGGUCUUCGGAUCGUAAAACUCUGUUAUUAGGGAAGAACAAAUGUGUAAGUAACUAUGCACAUCUUGACGGUACCUAAUCAGAAAGCCACGGCUAACUACGUG
rnacentral:rRNA from 1 species